rnacentral:rRNA from 1 species
CCCUUAGAUGUUCUGGGCCGCACGCGUGCUACACUGAGUGGAUCAGCGGGUCAGGUUGCGCGAAAGUGUUUCCUAAUCUUGAAAUCCGCUCGUGAUGGGGAUUGACGGUUGCAAUUUUCCGUCAUGAACGAGGAAUACCUUGUAAGCGCGGGUCAUCAUCCCGCGCUGAAUACGUCCCUGCCCUUUGUACACACCGCCCGUCACUCCUACCGAUUGAGUGGUCCGGUGAGGCUUUGGGAUCUGAGCGGAAAGAGCGUUUCGCUGUUUCUGCUCGGAAAACUCAGUCGAACCUUAUCAUUUAGAGGAAGGAGUAGUCGUAACA